rnacentral:tRNA from 2 species
UCUUCGAUGGUCUAGUGGUCAUGAUUUCCGCUUGUCAAAGUAUCCGCUUCAACAAGCGCGGGAGACCGGGGUUCGAUUCCCCGUCGGAGAG